rnacentral:rRNA from 1 species
AACGAACGCUGGCGGCAGGCCUAACACAUGCAAGUCGAGCGCGCCCUUCGGGGUGAGCGGCGGACGGGUGAGUAACGCGUGGGAACGUGCCCUUCUCUGCGGAAUAGCCUCGGGAAACUGAGAGUAAUACCGCAUACGCCCUUUGGGGGAAAGAUUUAUCGGAGAAGGAUCGGCCCGCGUUGGAUUAGGUAGUUGGUGGGGUAAUGGCCCACCAAGCCGACGAUCCAUAGCUGGUUGGAGAGGAUGAUCAGCCACACUGGGACUGAGACACGGCCCAGACUCCUACGGGAGGCAGCAGUGGGGAAUCUUAGACAAUGGGGGCAACCCUGAUCUAGCCAUGCCGCGUGAGUGAUGAAGGCCUUAGGGUUGUAAAGCUCUUUCAGCUGGGAAGAUAAUGACGGUACCAGCAGAAGAAGCCCCGGCUAACUCCGUG